rnacentral:misc_RNA from 1 species
GAUGAAGAACGCAGCAAAAUGCGAUAAGUAAUGUGAAUUGCAGAAUUCAGAGAAUCAUCGAAUCUUUGAACGCACAUUGCGCCCGCCAGUAUUCUGGCGGGCAUGCCUGUUCGAGCGUCAUUUCAACCCUCAAGCACAGCUUGGUGUUGGGACUCGCGUUAAUUCGCGUUCCCCAAAUUGAUUGGCGGUCACGUCGAGCUUCCAUAGCGUAGUAGUAAAACCCUCGUUACUGGUAAUCGUCGCGGCCACGCCGUUAAACCCCAACUUCUGAAUGUUGACCUCGGAUCAGGUAGGAAUACCCGCUGAACUUAAGCAUAUCAAUAAGCGGAGGA